rnacentral:rRNA from 1 species
UGGCGGACGGGUGAGUAACGCGUGGGUAACCUGCCUUAUACAGGGGGAUAACAGUCAGAAAUGGCUGCUAAUACCGCAUAAGCGCACAGGGCUGCAUGGCUCAGUGUGAAAAACUCCGGUGGUAUAAGAUGGACCCGCGUUGGAUUAGCUAGUUGGUGGGGUAACGGCCCACCAAGGCGACGAUCCAUAGCCGGCCUGAGAGGGUGAACGGCCACAUUGGGACUGAGACACGGCCCAGACUCCUACGGGAGGCAGCAUG